rnacentral:rRNA from 1 species
UACAGAGGUCUCAAGCGUUGUUCGGAAUUACUGGGCGUAAAGCGUGCGCAGGCGGUUCGUUAAGUCAGAUGUGAAAGCCCCGGGCUCAACCUGGGAACUGCAUUUGAAACUGGCGGGCUUGAGUGUGGCAGAGGGGGGUGGAAUUCCGCGUGUAGCAGUGAAAUGCGUAGAGAUGCGGAGGAACACCGAUGGCGAAGGCAGCCCCCUGGGCCAACACUGACGCUCAGGCACGAAAGCGUGGGGAGCAAACAGG